rnacentral:lncRNA from 1 species
CUGGACUUGAAUGCUUGGAGGUCUUACUGUCCAAUUCCAGAAUCUAUAAAAUGAUGAGAAAACAACAGGUUACAGAAUAAUAGAACUAUUAUGAGCUUCUCUCACUCGGUCAUGAUUAUGCACAAAUCGUCUAUUUUUCGUCUGGAGGAAUGCAGACUGUAACAGGUCUCUGCAGCAUGUUUAAAUGCAACAGACCUUUUCUCCUCGAGUUAUUUUGAGCAGAAAGUUGUUUGUGUGAAUAUCAUAGCUGUAUGUGGUGAGAUAGCAUUCCAGUUCCAGCAGGCUUUGUUAGUUUAGUUUCUUGUCACUAUGAAAAUGUAUUUCGUUACAAUGCUAUGUGAAAAUGUGGUAUAAUGUGUUUUCUUAUGCUCUGUAAUUGUAAAAAAAGGCUACCUGCAUUAUCCCAGCCAACUACAAAGGAGUGUAACCUUUUGUUGCUCUGAAAUUUGGUCAGAUAAGAACAAUCAUUUUCCCAUAAUUUAUCAAUUUUUUUAUUCCACUA